UUCCCCAUCUCAACAGAAUGAUGCCCCAAUCUACUCUUAAAAUUGUUUCCUGCUGGUUGUGUACACUCUGUUAAUGUAGUUCAGCUGGCCUGCCAGCUCCUUUCCAUUUGCUCCCAUCACUGUUGCAUUUACUGGAGAACUCAUCAAGGCAGUGUGAGCAAGCUCAGCCAUUUUGGAAACCCUGUGAGCAACUUAGCUUACAUAGAGAUUUUGCAGCCUCAUUUUCAGGCCUCUGUUCCCCCUGUUAUAAAAUCUUGCUCAAUAUAUUCAAACAGGAAAGAAGCAUCUGGUUUUGGCCUAAAGACCCUCAGUGACAACAAAGUUUUGCUGCUCAGAGGUCAGCAGGGUUCUGACCAGACUGUGGUUGGAGACGGAGGAGAGAUGAUGGGCCUGGUUGCAGAGUGAGGCUGGAGUACAGAACCACUGAUGCUGACCUAAACUGCUGGCUAACCUGGAGGUCCCUGCCUAGUCUAUGUACAACUGUAACUCUCCAUCCCUACCUCUGUGAGAAAUCUCUUCCCAUCUAAAAAUCAUUGACAGCUCUACUCUUACCUUCGUGUCAUAUGGAAGAACAGUAUGUUUCUGUUCCCUGCCAGGACAGAGCAACAGAGUUAAGAACAAAGGGCAUCAUGUGACUUAAGAAUUAACAUUCCUAGCAUCAUAAAUUGGAACGUCUUAAAAUGGUUAAUGUGUCUCGUGAAUGAACCUGUUGGAAAGUGGAACCAACCAUAAAGGUUUGAAAGUUACUUAAAAUUAAAGCAUAACUCAUGAAGAAACGAAUGGCAUCCCUGAAGAAGGACCCAUGGACAGUCACUUGGUCUGAACCUCACUUAGGAGUGGGCAUGCUUGCAGCCAAGCAAAAGAGAUGAACCUUUUCCCAUGUUAUAGCUGUUAGUGCUACAGUGAGGGAAGCAGCGUGGUGGGCAAGAUUCAGGAGACAUCAGGAGUUUCAUGUGUCUCCAAAAGGUGGGAAGAGAAUCCAGGCUGUGAGAAGGCCUCUUCUGUAGUGUGGCUUGUGUUGAUGUAUAUUUUCCCACCUGCUUAAUAGCAUAGAUGGGUUACCAGCAGUUUCCAUACUGAGGAAGGGUUAGUGUGUGUGGGCUUUGAAAGAGAACCUGUAAGCACUAGUUGUGCUGGGUGUGGGAAGGUUAAACGCUUUGAAAGCUGCACGGUCAAUAGAAACUGAGCAGCGCAAAGUGGUGAGAAAAGAAAGAUGAGACAGGAUUGGGCUGAUUGCUGAAGAAAAGUGCAACAGGCUUGAAGGUAACAUGAAUCCAGUGAAAGGAUUCAGAGAUGGGGCAGGGUUGAUACACGUAGCCUCAUCAGGCAGAAUUUCCCAAGUCCUGAGGGCUGACUUAGCCACAAGAGCGGAGAGAGCAGCCUCUUUUCCUGAAAUAGAUGUCCAUAGGAGAACACUCUCUUCAGUCUUAUGGCUGACAAGACUAUUAUAUGUCUACCUUCCUGACCACUUUAGCCCAGUCAUGGCCUCCUUUAAUGUAUGCUUCCCUUCCCUUCAGAGAUGUAUUUUUUAUUUUGAUCCCCUUUGGAAAAUUGGUCCCCCCACCUCAAUUUGAGGAAGAGGAACCUUUUUUUUUCUCUGCAGUUUAUGUUGCUUCUUAUUGUCUUAAUAUCCUAAUCCAUAUACCAUAUACUGCAAUAUUUCCUAUAAAACCUAGCAAUCAUGUAGACUUAAAGUAAUAUCUAUACACUGUCUGAAAAAACUGAGCUCAAUGACAUGCAGGAAUGCAUUUGCCAGCGAGAUUUAAACUCAGCUGUUUGUCCCACUUUGCUUUAAAAGUUUCCAGAUGUCCUCUGGGGUGAUACAUUCUAACAGGAUGCAUGCAUCCAUAUGGUCUAUCCAAUCUGAUAAUGAAGGCAUUAUCUCUCUCAUACCUCAUUAUACAUGAUCUUGCUACAAAUAUUCCUAAUCCUUUUUUGGUAUCUGUCAAUACACCUCCUAAAUUAGUUAAAAAUCAAACAUCUGGAAGAAAUGGACAGUCAGUUAACCCUGUGUCUACAUGCUACCAUCUGAUUUUCCCACCUUUGUAUCCCUGCUAUCUGUUGUCUGUAUAAUACACAGUUCCUAAAUAGAGCUAUCUAUCAUCUUCGUUUGUUUUUGAAAUGAUAUAUAAUCUGUGCUGAAAAUUAAACAGUGUCAUUCUAGGUUUAAAAUUUAUUGAUACAAAUUUAACAAGCUCAUUUAUCAACCUCCAAUCUUCUUCUGAAUAAUCUGUAUUUAAUUCUGCAUUCCACCUUUCUGUUGACCU